AUUUUUCAAACAAAAAAGUUCAUUUAUUAAAUUGAAUAUGAAGUUCUUAACAAUAGUCAUGGGAUUUGCUGUUUUAGCUCUUAUGUACGGCACUGGUGAAGCGUGUAUAUCGUUCCCACAAAAUCCAGGACGGAAUGGACGUAAAUAAUGAGUAGAUAUGGCGGAAGAAAACGUUUCUAAAAAAUAAAACAAUACAUUAUGGAAAAUGUUUA